CAAUAUAUGUAAUAUGACAUAAUAUAUAUAUAGACAUGAGACAUCGAUGAUUCAGUGAUCAAUUUACACCUAUUUUUGGACAGCCUGAAUGACAGGGCGUCCAACUUCAAGUGCCGUAUAUUUGGUAGGCAUGGUAGACACCGGGAAUCCGUAUGCUGCAUCACACCAACACUUGUAAGUUGGUCUGUUCUGAUUAAGCACAUAUAUCCUUCUUUUGUGCUGUCCUUAUGCAUUUGUCAAUGCUAAUUAAGUAUUAAGUAAUGUCUCAUCAACUCUCUCAUCAGUUUCAAUAUGACAUUUUUCUCCUUGAUUUGUCUGCAUGCAGCACUGGUGAUAGGUCCAUGCUGGUUCACUUGUGGUCACAUACUUUCGAUUCAUGGCAAUUCGAUAGUACGGCAACCUGCUGAAAGAGGUAGGAUGCCAGGGGAAAGGGGAAGAGGUGGCGGAGCAGUGAAACACAGAGGAUACUAUUUGUGCCGCUGCUGAAGGAUGCAACUAUCGACAUUACCUAUGCUUGCAAACAAAUCUGUGCAUAAAGACACUUCCCUAUAGCUGUCAAUGCGUAUUCUAAAUUAGUACGACAGAAAUGCUUUUUGAGGCAGUUGGGACUGGUCUUUGCAAGCAGGGGUUUCAGCAGCUUCAUCGAGCAACCCCAUGAAAUUAAAUCAAUUAUUUUCACGGGUAUAGAUCCAACCGCCUUUAAAUAUAUAUUUUUGCGGGUAGUCGGUGCCAUUCACUGCCUGGAGUUAUAAUUUUCCAUGACAACAAAUCCAAAGAAAUCGCAAUUCAAAAAAAAAAAUAGUCUAAUCGCCAUCCAGUGUCAGUCGCCGGCUCAUAGUCGUCACUACCUCCACUGGAUCCGGCCUCCACAUGGUCCUCGGAUUCGGCCGCCGUUAUCGUCUCCACCUGUUGGACCCCAUGCAACUCGCUACCGUAGUUGUCGUCGCCAUCACUGCUAGAUUCGGCCUCCCUGGGGUUGCCAUCACUGGAUCCAUUCUCUAUGGGUGCGCCAAGCCACCAUGUGUUGCUCGUUGCCGCCUCUACCGAAUCCCUAUGCCUUCAUUGUUGUCCCUACUGGAUCCCUGCGUCACGGUCAUGAAGCUACCGUGCGCCACUUGGCACCAUCGUCGUCGCCACCAUCACCUAGCCAAUGCGUGCCGCUAGUGAGAGAGACAUAAUGGGGAAGAAGUGAGAGGAGUAUGUAGAGAAGUGAGAGAGAGUGGACGAGAGGGGGAUAGGGAGUUGAUGGUCAAUCCUAUCUCUUUCUCACAGAUUAUAGACGGGCUUACUUUAUGCCCCACAUUAAAAAAAUAAAUUUUGCAAGCAGCCUAUAAGGAGGCCUCAUGCAAAAAUAAGUUGGUAGUGCAUAAUUUAAUAGUUGUUUACAUUAAUUUUUGCAAACGACCGAUGAUUACCAAUAUUUAUACUCCUAUAAAAAGGAGUAGUGGUGGUGGUAGAUUCACAUUAAAUCUACCACCACCACCUAAUCUCACUAUAGUUUUACAAUUUAGUCCUCAAAUUUCUUGAUAUUAAAAACCAGUUAAAUAUAGAUUGAUAUCUACAUAUAAAUUCAGAUUAAAAUGACUAUUUCAUAUAAGAAAAUUUAAUAACACAUCAUAAUAUCCGUAGCAAAGCAUGGGUAUUUAACUAGUAUGUAAUAAAUAUUUAUACUGCAAAGUAUAAAUAUGCAACACAAUUGUUGGAAAAAAAAUUGCAUUUCUCGAUUGAUUACCAAUAUAUGUAACAUGACAUAAUAUUUAUAUAGACAUGAGACAUCAAUGAUUCAGUGAUCAAUUUGCAUCUAUUUGGACAGCCUGAAUGACAGGGCAUCCAACUUCAGGUGCUGUAUAUUUGGUAGGCAUGGCCGUAUGCUGCAUCACCAACACUUGUAAGUUGCUAAUCUCUAUCUGUUAUGAUUACGCACAUAUAUUCUUCUUCAGUGCUGCCCUUAUGCAUUUGUCAGUGUUAAUUAAGUAUUAAGUAAUGUCUCAUCAACUCCCUCAUCAGUUUCAAUAUGACAUUUUCCACCUUGAUUUGUCUGCAUGCAGCACUGGUGAUAGGUCCAUGCUGGUUCACUUAUGGUCACAUACAUUCAGUUCAUGGCGAUUUGACAGUAAGGCAUCGUGACGAAAGAGGAAGGAUGGUAGAGGGAAAGGGGAAGAGGCGGCGGAGCAGUGAAACGGCAAAGAUCCCCCUAGUGCCACUUCUGAAGGAUACUGCCAUGGACAUUAUCUAUGCCUGCAAACAGAUUUGUGCAUGAAGACACUUCCCUAUCAGCUGCCAAUGCAAACAAAUCAAUGGGAUUCUAGCAGCCUCAAAACAACCCCAUGAAAAUCAGUUGUCUUUAAAUAUGCAUUUCUGCAGGCAAUUCGUGCCAUUCACCGUCUAUAGUUAUAAUUUUCCAUGACAAAAAAUCCAGAAAAAUCACAAUUCAAAAAAAAAAUCAUCUAAUCCCCCAUCCUAGCAUCGGUCACUGACUUAGAGUCAUCACCAUCUCCACUGGAUCUAGCCUCCCACGGUCUCGGGCUAGAUCCGGCCGUUGGCCACUGUCGUUGUCGUCGUCAUCUCUCCUAGAUUCGGCCUCCAUGGGGUUGCCAUCGCUGGAUCCGGCCUCUGCGGGUGCGCCAAGCCACCACGUGCUGCUCGUUGCCGCCUCUACCGAAUCCCUAUGCCUUCAUUGAUGUCCCUACCGGAUCCCUACGCUGCGGUCAUGGAGCUGCUGAGCGCCACUCGCAUGACUGCCAUCAUCAUCACCGCCAUCACCUAGCCACUGCGCCCCACUUAUAAGAGAGGCAUAAUGGAUGGGAGGUGAGAAGAGUACAUGGAGAGGUGAGAGAGAGAUGGACGAUAGGGGAUAGGGAGGUGACGGUCAAUCUUUUCCUCAUAAAUGACAGAUGGGCUUACUUUAUGUCCCACAUUUAAAAAUAAAUUUUACAAGCAGCCUAUAAAGAGGUCAUAUGCAAAAAUAGUUGGCAGUGCAUGAUUUGAUAGCUGUGAUUCACUUGCAUGCAGUUCUCACGCCUAGUCAUCAGCACAAAAAAAAUCAUUUUUGAUGUAGUGCACGCAUGACCAACAAUGUCUCCAUGGUUGCAUGUACAAGAAGCAACCCGAAGCAUGUCCCUGAAGACACUUCCUUAUCAGCUGCCAUGUCAGCAAAUGAGCAAAAUUAUUAGAAGAUGAUUGACAUGAACAAGCUUUCUUUUCGCACCGUUUUGUAAUUUUUCUUCUCCUUUUGUUGUCAAUUUCAUAAUACUCUAUAGGGAGGGUAAAGGGGUAAUAGUUCAGGGUUCAAUUGCUAGCAUUUAUGAUUUUGAAACGGCUAGAAAAAAAACUGCGAGAAUAUAGCUGGAUAAAUACUGAGCAACAACUCCUGGGCA
rnacentral:lncRNA from 1 species